GUUGAAGCAGAUUGUCCAGCAAAGUUCUUCAUUGGUGGGCUUAAUACGGAAACAAAUAAGAAAGCUCUUGAAGCAGUAUUUGGCUAAUAUGGACGAAUAGUGGAAGCACUCUUGAUGAAAGAGCAUGAAACCAACAAAUCAAGAGGAUUUGCUUUUGUCACCUUUGAAAGCCCAGCAGAUGCUAAGGAUGCAGCCAGAGACAUGAAUGGAAAGUCAUUAGAUGGAAAAGCCAUCAAGGUGGAACAAGCCACCAAACCAUCAUUUGAAAGUGGUAGACGUGGACUGCCUCCACCUCCAAGAAGUAGAGGCCCUCCAAAAGGUCUUAGAGGUGGAAGAGGAAGAAGUGGAGGAACCAGGAGACCUCCCUCAUGGAGAAGACACAUGGAUGACAGUGGAUACUCCAUGAAUUUUAACAUGAGUUCUUCCAGGGGACCACUCCCAGUAAAAAGAAGACCACCACCAAGAAGUGGGGGUCCUCCUCCUAAGAGUUCUGCACCUUCAGGACCAGUUCGCAGCAGCAGUGGAAUGGGAGGAAGAGCUCCUGUGUCACGUGGAAGAGAUAGUUAGUGCGGUCCACCUGGAAGGGAACCGCUGCCCUCUCGUAGAGGGUUCUUCUUGAAGACAGUUCUUCAAGCAGAGAUUAGCCAAGUUCUCGUGAUACAAGAGGUUAUGCACCACCACCACCGCGAGAUUGUACUUACCGUGAUUAUGGUCAUUUCAGUUCACGUGAUGACUAUCCAUCAAGAGGCUAUAGCGAUAGAGAUGGAUAUAAUAGUGAUCAUGACUAUUCAGAUCAUCCAGCUGGAGAUUCCUACAGAGAUUCAUAUGAAAGUUAUCGUAACUCACGUAGUGCUCCACCUACAGGAGGGCCCCCGCCCCCCCAUCUUAUGGUGGAAGCGAUGAUUAUAGCAGUUCACGUGACGGAUAUGGUGGAAGUCGAGACAGUUACUCAAGCAGCCGAAGUGAUCUCUAAUCAAGUGGUCGUGGUCGGGUUGGCAGACAAGAAAGACGGCUUCCCCCUUCUAUGGAAAUCCUCCACGUGAUUCCCACGGCAAUUCAGGCGGUGGAGCACCAAGAGGUGGUGGCAGUGGAGGAAGCCGAUCUGAUAGAGGGGGAGGCAGAAGCAGAUACUAG
rnacentral:lncRNA from 1 species